GUUGUUGGCAUGACACGGGUUAUGUUCUUCUCAUAUAUGUUAUGAUGGUAUGAUACUAAACCCCUAACGGGAAGGAUUGUGUCUGAUGUUCAUAUGAUGAAAUCAUAAUCUUUCAGUCAGUUUAAUUGAAGUCUGGAGCUGGCAUGUCAGUUAACUGCUAGUAGUCUGUUGUUAUUUAUGUAUUAUUGUCAUUUUGUUUAUUUUCUUUGGUUACAUCUUCUGACAUCAGACUCGGACUUCUCUUGAACUGAAUUUUAAUGUGCG
rnacentral:lncRNA from 1 species